CCUANGGGAGGCAGCAGUGAGGAAUAUUGGUCAAUGGGGGCAACCCUGAACCAGCCAUGCCGCGUGGAGGAAGACGGCCCUAUGGGUUGUAAACUCCUUUUGUACGGGAAUAAUGGCGCCUACGUGUAGGCGUAUGAAGGUACUGUACGAAUAAGCAUCGGCUAACUCCGUGCCAGCAGCCGCGGUAAUACGGAGGAUGCAGGCGUUAUCCGGAUUUAUUAGGUUUAAAGGGUGCGCAGGCGGCCCUAUAAGUCAGUGGUGAAAGUUUGCGGCUUAACCGUAAAAUAGCCAUUGAUACUGUAGGGCUUGAAUGUGGUAGAGGUAGGCGGAAUGUGUAGUGUAGCGGUGAAAUGCUUAGAUAUUACACAGAACACCGAUUGCGAAGGCAGCUUACUAUGCCAUGAUUGACGCUGAGGCACGAAAGCGUGGGUAGCGAACAGGAUUAGAUACCCGANUANUC
rnacentral:rRNA from 1 species